UGCCUGUCCCUCCCACCGAGCAGCCGGAUCUCCCAGUGAGUAGGCCCGGGCCGCCAGAUCCGGUGACCCCGGUCUCCUCGCCGGUGUAUCCGGCGCCGCAGGGAGGGACGAGAGCC
rnacentral:ncRNA from 2 species